CUGACUGAGCCUGAGGAAGGCGGAGCGGAAGGGGCAGAAGCCACGAGGCCGAAGGAUUUCUGGAAGGCCGGAAGCAGAAGGAACCACCGGGAAUGGUCAGGAUGGAUGGAGGCUUCUCUUGAGAAAGACUCUAAAUACACGGCUGCUGAGUAUCCAAAACAGAGGGGAAGGAAGCAAAGCCUGAAUAUAAAUCUAUGUUCGAUGUCCGCUCUUCUGAGGAAUAGAGCAGAAAAACAAAACAAAAUAAACAACAACAAACCCAAAACCCUCAAAGGCAGACUCGCCUGAUGGCUAGAUUUUUGGGGCAUACUUUAAAACAGUGAACAAACCCCUUUGAUGCUGCUGAAGUUGCUGAACGUGGUUAUUAUCAUAUAAUAUUCUCAAAUGACUAUCAAAUCAGAACAGAAAGCAAGGAUAAGAUGAGAAACUCAUAUUUGUCUAACAUCUGCAGUUCCAAGGGGAAGACAAUGGGACUUGCCUCUUGGAUAAAACUUGGUCUUCAAGCCCUGAUCAUGACCUUCAGCAUCCAGGCUGCAGAGUAUCUCAGAGAGUUUUGCCUGGUUUGUUUACACUGUGGAAAUGUGCAGCAGGAAGCAGGCUGUGGACUGGCCUCAUACCUCACAUCCUCACUGUCUCCUCCAUGCUGGCUGCCAAUGGACAGAGGAAGUAUGGGUGGCCUGCCUGAAGUCAGAGAGACACUGAAGGACUGGUGGGCCCUGAGCUACUGAGAAGCUUUGGGGGAAAUUUUGGCCUUAAUAGUUUUUCCUGGGUCUAUUAUGGACUUCCAUUUGAAGUACAUGAAGAGAACAAGAAACUAUGCCAAAAACAGUUUUAAAAAGGAAAGGUAGACUUAGAAGCCUCCAUGUUUAAUGCAAAUGGUUUAUCUGGAAGCCUCUAGAAGCCCCCUCCCCCCCACAGUAUGAAAAGAAGCAGGGGAAGGCCCACUCCCUGUGUUUAUAAGAUUCUGAGGUGAGCCUGCUUUCUCAGUUUUUCCAUGGUUGUCUCCGUCUGACAGAGAUCACACAUCUUACCUUACAGUGCCUAUUAACAGAAAAAUAUGGCCACACCCAUCCCCCUUCCACCCCACCCCGUUACUCAAUACCAUCCCCAGACAAUCAAACUGGCCUUCUCUUUGAUCACCCACAGCAGGAGGUGGGCUGGCAGGAGACCCCCAGCUUUGGGAGGUCAGAGGAGCCAGGCUGCAGAAGGGGAAACACCAAAGGACAUUGGACUCAUGUCUACAGACUCACAGGCACCUUGCCUGCCCCAGCCAGACACAGCUAUUACUAGAACAAGUGGGCUAAACUCAGAACGCUACCAACUGCAAUUAAGGAUGUUUACUUGACUUGCAGCCUCUCUUACACUCAUUAUUUUAUUUCUUCUCUUACAUUCUGGGAGUUUAACCCAGGACAUAGAACAUUCUAGGACAAUGCUCUAUUGCUGAUACCUCCAUUGCUACCCUCAGCUAAUUGUUUUAUUAUUGAUUCUAUUGCCUUAACAGCAGUGAGCAGGCUUCUGACUUAGCAUGACCUCCCUUCCUAGAGAGAAAUGCUCUUAGGGCUGAAUGACUACGUAAUUCUAAGGGACGGUCAAUUUACAACAAAAACAAGCAUUUGAAAGCCAGUUGCAACAUCUUUUGUCACAUGUUUGUCUUGCCGCCCACUGAUGUCAAUACCAAAAAUUUUACGAGUGAGCCAGUUAAUACACAAACAUGGUGGCUUUCUUAUAUCAUAGGCAACUUGAGAAUGCCCUCUGAACAUUCAUUUGUUAGAAAAUUACCUAACUGCAAGCCACUGUAGAGGGUGGACUUGCGGGGUCAGGGCUCUGCUUGUCUUGUUUAUGCCAAGCACUUAGCACACAUUCGGCACAGAAAGUAGGGGAGACUCUAAGCCCAAUGUGGCUUGCCCUCUGCGACCUGUUAGGGUCAAGGAUAGAAACUUCAGAAUGCAAAGGAAAAGAAAUGGAAAUCCAGUUUUUAAAAAAAAAAAAAAUCACAAAGACUAGAAGACAUGGUGCUGUCCACGGUGAUGAAGACAAGCCCAACACUGCACUGCUCUGUGUAGCCGCCUAGGGCUGUCCAUUAAUCGUGUAGGAACCUGGACUCAGGUAAAAUUGAUCCUUAGCCAUAUCAAAUGUGAAACACACUUGGAUUUUAUCUAAAAAUGGAAAAAUAUGAAGCUUGGAGGUGCGGUUUGGUGGAUGAGGACCUGACUUCACCCCCCCCCCCCAGCGUCCAUGCACAAAGCUGGCCAAGGUGGUUAGAGUUCCAACCCAGAGGAGGCAGAGACAAGCAUCCCUGCGGUAGCCAUAGUGAGAGACCCUGUCCCAAAGACAUUAGAAUGUAUGGGUGAAGGCUCCACACAGACGCCAACUGGAUUUCUCCGUGUUCGAUGAGUCGUAUGGGUGUUGUACGUGGCAACGAGGCACCACUGUCAGUUUUCUGAAAGCAACCUUUGGUUGCUUGGGGAUCUCCAUGGGCCAACAAUGCAACCCAGACCCACCUCUGGAAGCUUUGCUUGGCUAGAAAACUCGGCCAGCUGAGACUACAUUCUCUGUUACCCAGAGUUCUUGUGAGGACCACCUUCAGAUUCCAGGAGGUUCCCGUGCACUAGGCCCCCAGAAUUCCAACCAUCUCUUCCUGCACUUUCUCUUUCCACCCACAUCAGACCCCCUUCCUGUUCUUACCUCCCCCCAAGUCAGCCCAUAAAAUCUAUUCUAUCUCCCCCCUUCCCAUGAGUCCCCUUAGACCCCUCCUCAUUACCAACCUCUCAGAAACAUUUACUUAAUGGCUAAUAUCCACUUAUAAGGGAAUACAUACUAUAUCUGUCUGGGUUACUUUACUCAGGAUGUUUUUUUUUUUCUAGUUCCAUCCAUUUGCCUGUAAAUUUCAUGUUGUCAAUUUUUUUAAACAACUAACUCCAUUGUAGAGGGUUGACCUAAUGCUGCUUGUAUUCUAAUGCUAAUUUGGGGUCUCCAUGACUGAAUAACCCCAAUGAGUAUUCAGAGAGUAUUAUGAGAGAGUCUGCACAUAAGACACUGAGUGACACUGCCCUCAGCUAAUUUUGAUUGGUGAAAGAUAUCAACAGCCAAUAGCUGGGCAGAAGAGACAGGUGGGGCUGAGGACCAUGAGGAGGGACAAAGAAGCAGGAGGAAGCUACUGUGAGGGGAGAGGAAACAUGAGCACAUGGUCAGGAGAUACAACAUGUAUCUGGGGUACACUGCUGGGAGGUAGCCAGGCCUGCAGUUAGACGAGUAGAUCAGGGAUGACCCCCCUGCCCGUAAUUGUCAAAGCCAAAUAAAAUAACCAUAGUGUGAGAGUCUCAUUUAUUUGUAAGCCAGUUGGGGAUAAGCUUAAAUUGUUCUUAUUACACUCCGUUGGGUAAAUAAAGCCUUUUCUUUACCCAUUAAUGGCUGAAGAGCAUCUGGGAUGCUUCUAGUUUGUGCCUAUUAUAAAUAAAGCUGUUCUGAA